GACGAACGCUGGCGGCGUGCCUAAUACAUGCAAGUAGGACGCAGUUGCGAACGGGUGAGUAACGCGUAGGUAACUGCCUAUUAGAGGGGGAUAACUAUUGGAAACGAUAGUUAAUACCGCAUACUAGUAGAUGGACCUGCGUUGUAUUAGCUAGUAGGUAGGGUAAUGGCCUACCUAGGCGACGAUACAUAGCCGACCUGAGAGGUGUAUCGGCCACGCUGUGACUGGGAACAGGCCCAGACUCCUACGGGAGGCAGCAGGAGGGAAUCUUCGGCAGUGGGAGGAACCCUGGCCGAGCAACGCCGCGUUAGUUGAGAAGGUUUGAGGGUCCGAAAGCUUGGUUGUUAAGGAAGCGGUGCUUAACCAGAAAGGGACGGCUAACUACGUGCCAGCCGCCGCGGUAAUAC
rnacentral:rRNA from 1 species